ACUGAUAUAAAUUAAGUCCAUUCAUCUAUUUGUAGAUCUUUUUUUUUCUUACCACAUGAUGAUAAUAUUUUUUUGUAUUACAUUUUCUCUCCAAGAUUUGGGUCUAUCAAACAAAGUAAAUAAAGCAAAAGAAUAAUACUAUAAAAAGUUAAAAAGAGAGAGAGGUAUAGAGGAAAAAGAGAAAGAGAUAAAGAAAGCUAUGUCAUAUAGUUUGCCAUAUCAUCUUUCCUUUUCAAUUUUUUUUUUUUUCGCCAGUUAACUUUUUAUUUGUUCCCAAAUUUUAUCUUUAUUUAAAUAUUGAGUUUCUUGAUUUCCUAAAAAUUUAGAUGAUUUAUUUAAGGGUGAACGACCUGUGUGUCCCUCGGAAGUUUCAUAUAACACUAGACUUACACCGAAUUCCAACCUCGAUCUUGGUCAACACAAAUGAAAAGUUCUACUCCUAUUUCUCCCUAAUUUGAAAGUUCGAAAUCUCAAAACACAUAAAAUCAAAAUUCAAACCUAAAACACACAUAAACAUGGUUUAUAAUCGGUUUAUUGUUACCCAGACAUCGUUAACCACAUUAGGACUAAACGAAACCGGAUUUAACCUGAGUAGACCCGAUUUAAGAUCGAAAAUCCCCAAAUUUCAGAAUCAAAGAACACUAGAAUUUGAGAGAACCCAGAAAUUUAAUCAAUUGAUUGUUGAGGGAGAAAUUCAUGAUGAUGAAGACGGAUCAUAUCAGCCACAUUGCAAAUCAUCUCAGCCACAACCACACGAUAAAUCAGAUAGUUAUUAGAGCCUUCUCAAUGCAUUAUUUCUCCGAACAAACUUUCUCAAGACACUUUCAGUCAAGGAUAAAUAAGAUUAGAAGAUACAAUGGAUUUAUUUUUGGUUUUGCUUUUUAAGAUUAUGAUUAAGUCGGCUUUGUUGUUUUGUUUUAUAACUUGAUUUACUCAAGCUCUGCGAUUUUUGUCUCUGUUUUACAUUGCUUUUUGAUCUCUGCAACUAAUGAAAUGUUAAUGGCACAAAAACCGUGUCAUAAGCUACAAAAUGAUAACGAUUCACCAAAAUGAGACAACAAUGAGAUUCCAAAUCGUUGGGUUUGUCUCCUCUACGAACGAUGUCAUGGUUUCCCCUCAGGACUUGCUUUAUUUCCAGAAAAAUUUAUUUAAAAAGAAGAGCAAAAUAGAGUUUCAGUCAAAGACUAAAAUUUGAGAUUGACUUAAUUCCAAAUUCAUAUAUCCGCAAUGCUCUUUCAAAUAAUGUGUUCACAAAUGAUGUUUUUCCAAAAACAAUGGAGGAAAAUUCUUCAGUUUCUUCUAUGGACAACGAUACGGAGAAUUUCAAUUCCAUUAUCGAUACUUCUCGUCCUUAGAUUCUAUUGUCGAGCCGCCGCAAAUACAUCGUCUUUCCUCCCUUCUCUUCCUUUAAGCUUCGAAACUCCAGGAAUGGAGAUGUAUAUGUUGGUUUUGUGAUCGGGAGGUGAUGGCGGAGAAGGAGACGGGUCAAAUGGGGUAGAAGGAGAUGGGUCAGGUUUUUAAUUUGGUUUAGGAUUGGUUUAAGUGGUUUAAUAUCGGUUUAUGUUAUAAACCAAUUAAUCAAACGUUUAUGUGUUUUGAGGUUUUGAACUUUCAAAUUAGGGAGAAAUAGGACUAGAACUUUCUAUUUGUGUAGACCAAGAUCGAGGUUGGAAUUCUGUGUAGUUCUAAUGGUAUAUGAAACUUUCGAGGGGGACACAAGUCGUUUACCCUUUAUUUAAUGGAUUUUAGAGUUAUUCUUUCCUUGUAGCACAAAUGUUGAACACAAGGUACUGUUCUAAAGUCCACUCGCCAUUGAUAUCAGGAGUUUGUGCUCCUUUUUCUGUAUUUUUCUUGAGACUCCCAAUUUCGCAUCUUUUAAGUUUCAUUUUACUUGAAUGUCUAAUGAACAACUCCGUAUAU
rnacentral:sRNA from 1 species